rnacentral:rRNA from 1 species
GACGAACGCUGGCGGCGUGCCUAAUGCAUGCAAGUCGCACGGGCGGGGCUUCGGCUCCGUCAGUGGCGGACGGCUGAGGAACACGUGGGUGACCUGCCCCGCGGUGGGGGACAACCCGGCGAAAGCCGGGCUAAUCCCGCAUACGUUUCCCGCCUUGCGCGGGAAAGAAAGCCGUGAGGCGCCGCAGGGGGGGCCUGCGUCCCAUCAGGUCGUUGGUGUGGUAACGGCGCACCAAGCCGGUGACGGGUCGCUGAUCUGUGAGGAUGAUCAGCCAGAC